rnacentral:tRNA from 1 species
UCCCUGGUGGCUCAGAGGUUAAAGCGUCUGCCUGGAAUACAGAAGACCCAGGUUGGAUCCCUGGGUUGGGAA